GAUGAACGCUGGCGGCGUGCCUAAUACAUGCAAGUCGAGCGAACAGACGAGGAGCUUGCUCCUCUGACGUUAGCGGCGGACGGGUGAGUAACACGUGGAUAACCUACCUAUAAGACUGGGAUAACUUCGGGAAACCGGAGCUAAUACCGGAUAAUAUAUUGAACCGCAUGGUUCAAUAGUGAAAGACGGUUUUGCUGUCACUUAUAGUUGGAUCCGCGCCGCAUUAGCUAGUUGGGAAGGUAACGGCUUACCAAGGCGACGAUGCGUAGCCGACCUGAGAGGGUGAUCGGCCACACUGGAACUGAGACGCGGUCCAGACUCCUACGGGAGGCAGCAGUAGGGAAUCUGCCGCAAUGGGCGAAAGCCUGACGGAGCAACGCCGCGUGAGUGAUGAAGGUCUUCGGAUCGUAAAACUCUGUUAUUAGGGAAGAACAAAUGUGUAAGUAACUAUGCACGUCUUGACGGUACCUAAUCAGAAAGCCACGGCUAACUACGUG
rnacentral:rRNA from 1 species